ACACAUGCAAGUCGAACGGAGAUUACAGGCGGAAGUUUUCGGAUGGAAGCUUGUAAACUUAGUGGCGGACGGGUGAGUAACACGUGAGCAACCUGCCUAUCAGAGGGGGAUAACGAUUGGAAACGAUCGCUAAUACCGCAUGACAUAGCGGAAUCGCAUGGUUCUGUUAUCAAAGAUUUUAUCGCUGAUAGGUGGGCUCGCGUCCGAUUAGAUAGUUGGUGGGGUAACGGCCUACCAAGUCGACGAUCGGUAGCCGGACUGAGAGGUCGAACGGCCACAUUGGGACUGAGACACGGCCCAGACUCCUACGGGAGGCAGCAGUGGGGGAUAUUGCACAAUGGGGGAAACCCUGAUGCAGCGACGCCGCGUGAGGGAAGACGGUCCUCUGGAUUGUAAACCUCUGUCUUCGGGGACGAAACGAGACGGUACCCGAGGAGGAAGCCACGGCUAACUACGUGCCAGCAGCCGCGGUAAUACGUAGGUGGCAAGCGUUGUCCGGAAUUACUGGGUGUAAAGGGAGCGUAGGCGGGCAGGCAAGUCAGGCGUGAAAUAUAUCGGCUCAACCGGUAACGGCGCUUGAAACUGCAGGUCUUGAGUGAAGUAGAGGUUGGCGGAAUUCCUAGUGUAGCGGUGAAAUGCGUAGAUAUUAGGAGGAACACCAGUGGCGAAGGCGGCCAACUGGGCUUUUACUGACGCUGAGGCUCGAAAGUGUGGGGAGCAAACAGGAUUAGAUACCCUGGUAGUCCACACCGUAAACGAUGAUUACUAGGUGUGGGGGGACUGACCCCUUCCGUGCCGGA
rnacentral:rRNA from 1 species